rnacentral:rRNA from 1 species
GUCUCUUAGAAAAUAUUAAGAGUCGGACCUGCCCAGUGAUAUUUAUUUAACGGCCGCGGUACCCUGACCGUGCAAAGGUAGCAUAAUCAUUUGCCUUUUAAUUAGAGGCUUGUAUGAACGGUCUGACGUGAGCAAUUCUGUCUCGCACAUAUUUUUUGGAAGUUGAUCUAGGUGUGCAAAAGCCCCUAUUUAAUAAAAAGACGAGAAGACCCUAUUGAGCUUGAAUAGCAUAAGAGAUUUACGGUAUAAAAAAUGUUUUAGAACUAUAUCUUUUUUUAAUUUUAGUUGGGGUGACUGAGGAACAAAUGAUAGCUUCCUAAUUUUAAAAAGAAUUUGUAUCCAUUAGAUUGAUCCAGGCUUCUUGAUCAGUAGAAUAAGUUACCAUAGGGAUAACAGCAUAAUUAUUUUUGAGAGCUCAUAUCGAAAAAAUAGAUUGUGACCUCGAUGUUGGACUAGGGUAAAUAAGAAGUGCAGAAGCUUCUUUUUAUGGUCUGUUCGACCAGUAAUUCCCU